CGGAGCGGAGCGGAGCACGGAGCGGAGCGGAGCGGAGCACGGAGCGGAGCGGAGCGGAGCACGGAGCGGAGCACGGAGCGG
rnacentral:miRNA from 1 species